rnacentral:lncRNA from 1 species
AGCAAUAUCACGUGACCAUCCAUGCACCAAAUAAAGAAAUUCAAUUUCUAGAAUGGCCAAAAAUCUUCAUGGCCNUGAGUUGCACAUNCCAACUCCCAUUUCAUUCUCUUCCUUCAACAAACCAAUUAAUGUGUUGCUUCCUUUUGUGCCAUGUGCUUCAUUCUCCAAGACAAACCUUGCUUUCCACACUUUUCUACCAUGAAAACCG